GAAUUAGAUCCUUAGUGAAAGAUACAUGGAAUUUCUAUGCUUAAUAAUGAAGGUUAAUUUGGAGCUAUGAAAAAUUGUGGAUUUGUUUCGUACUUUAUUUGUAGCUAAAAUCGGAGCCAUUCUGUGCAAGCUGACAGAUGUUGAGUUUACGUAAGUUGUUUAAUUAAUCUUAGGGGUAGCGAGUCGCAACAAGUGCUUAAUUGACAAGGUAUGGAAAACCCAAAGACCAUUCUUCUUGAUGCCAAAGGAAAAUUUUACUUAAUCUGUGCAAUGGACGUUUGACACAUGCUGUUCCAAUGAUGUCUAUCAAGUUUGACAGAUUCGUUUGAACUGAAUGACCCUGUAUAUAGGCAACACUCGAAAUAAUGUAUAAGCGUGUACACACAAUGUAUAUUUGCCCAGUGUCAAGGAGUUCCAUUUGUCAUAGAAGAGUAAUCGAACGGUUUCGAUUAGGUAACCAAAUUGAAUUUCUCUGUAGAAAUAAUUUGGCUUGAUGCAAUUCCACAUGAUUUUACUUUGAUCAAUGUCAUGCCGGAUGAUUGUGUAAGUGAAAAGCGACUUUGAAAUUUGAAAUUUGUAAACCAUACAUACGGUAAAAUUGUUUUCAUGAUUUUUUAAAAUUAUUCAAACACUUUAGUAAACUUUUCAAGAAAAUUUGAUUCAUCUUAAAAUACGAGUCACUAAUUUGUUUUAUAAGUAACCAAAUGCACUGUCAACUUCAAAAUAUAAUUUUUUUUACACCGAUUGCCAUACUUUUUCA